UUGGAUGAGCUGGUCUUUCUUGCGCAGGAAGUGGGAGGCUUUGAUCCAUGUGUUGGGGGUCUUUGGAGCCAUCGGUGAGAUACCACUCUUUUCCAACUCGGAUUCUCACUCUCUACCGUAUAUCCGGGGGAGAGGACACUCCCAGGGUGGGCAGUUUGACUGGGGCGGUCGCCUCCUAAAAGGUAACGGAGGCGCACAAAGGUUUCCUCAGAUCUGGAUAGAAAUCGAUCGAAGAGUGGCAAGGCAAAAAGGAACUUGACUGGUGAAACUACAAGUCCAGCAAAGACCAAAGUCGGUCUUAAUGAUCCCACCAUCUCGAGUGGAAAGGUCGUCCCUCCACGGAUAAAAAUUACUCCUGGGAAAACAGGGUGAAAA
rnacentral:rRNA from 1 species